rnacentral:lncRNA from 1 species
CCUCCUGUUCUCUUUUCCUGCAUCAGAGACACAUCAUAGUCACCUGGAGAUUAUUGCAGAACCUUGGGGGACGAUGGCACACUGGGCUGUGUCUUCCCUGCCAUCCCGAUAUCCCUGGGUGGCAGAAUUCUGGUGAAGACAUAACCUUUUUUCUCAUGGAGGAUCAGAAGCACCACUUGUAUUAAUUAAUUAAUUAAUUAAUCAUCCACUCCCUGGACAGGGCUAGCUUCUGACCCGAGAUGGGUGGCUGAAAUUCAGGACUGUGGGGAGCAACCCUGUCAUGAAGGCUCAAUUUCAACAGCAGCAAAUGGACAAUCGAUCCAGCUUUCUGCCGAUUCCUAUAUUAUUUCCGGCGAGUCCAUGAGAAUUGAUUAUCAAGGUAGCAUGCAGGUGACCGGAGGAAGCAGCUACGAGCUGCCCCCCAGUUCCACCCCGCUUCCCUCCGUGCCCCUGGGCGACUCUUCCAUGAACAUCGUCAUGAGCGACGACUUAAUUAAAACACUGUUCCUGUCCAAGAUGCCUGCCCAGACCUUCACCAUCAACAAUGAAGCACAGGUCAGCUGUAAACAUUUGCCGUUUUAUCAGAUCUUCCCAAGU